CUGCCAUGAUGACUAUCUUAGGACACCUUUGGAUAAAUAAUGAAACAAACUUUCUUUCUGAGCGGC